rnacentral:lncRNA from 1 species
UGUAAAAUUCUUUGAAGUGUAACUCCGCGUAUUGUAUACAUUUUCGGUGAAGUGGUGCUCCUUUCUCUUCAAGUCAAAUGAGGAGGAUACUUUAUGGAAACUACCAGGAGCUUUGAAUGUGCCUGUGGAGUUUGAAGAGCGUGAAAGACUGCCUUUCCUACAUUGUGCCGGUGCCGUGUCCUUGCCCACUUUGAUGCCCACUUACAACCUCUCAGGAUGGAGAAACCAUGUGUAAGCCAACGCCACCAUUAGAGCAAGAAGAAGUUGCUUCCUGAUAUGUUUCAGCCAAAAACACAGCGCUUUUUCUGUGCUGCUGCUGGAGUAAUCAGCACUCACACUGGGGUCUGCGCUUAUUAUUGACACAUGGGUGAGUUCAUAGGCGUCUGGUAGCUUAUUUGAGUAGAUCGGUACACAUUAAAGUUAUUUUGAGGGGUGGUAUUUGGCACAGCAGUUGGACACCUAUGUUGCAUCUUGGAGUGCCUGGGUUUGAGUCCCAGCUCCUCUUCCAAUUCUAGCUUCCUGCUUAUGCACAUGUGGCAGGCAGCACGUAAUGGCUCAGGUACUGGGAUUCCUGUUAUUUACAUGAGAGGCCUGGAUUGAAUUCUGGGCUCCUGGCUUCUACUAGCCCAGCCCCAGCUGUUGCAGGCACUUGGGGGAUCAAACAGCAAAUGGAGGAUCUCUGUCUGUCUCAUCCUCUCUGCCUUUCAAAUAUAAAUAAAUAAAUGGAUAUAUAGAAAAAUAGGAAACUA